rnacentral:rRNA from 1 species
UACGUAGGUGGCUAGCGUUGUCCGGAUUUACUGGGCGUAAAGAGCGCGCAGGCGGUCGUUCAAGUCGAGUGUGAAAGCCCCCGGCUCAACUGGGGAGGGUCACUCGAUACUGAUCGACUCGAAGGCAGGAGAGGGUAGUGGAAUUCCCGGUGUAGUGGUGAAAUGCGUAGAUAUCGGGAGGAACACCAGUGGCGAAGGCGACUACCUGGCCUGUUCUUGACGCUGAGGCGCCGAAAGCUAGGGGAGCAAACGGGG